rnacentral:tRNA from 1 species
GGUAAAAUGGCUGAGGUUUAAGCGAUAAAUUGUAAAUUUAUAAACGGAUUAGAUCCUUUUACCA